GGAUUUAGAAGGGUGUUACAACUUGCAUGGUAGAUAAUCGAUCUAGAACAUCACCAAACCUCAAACUACUAGAGUAUUGUCAUUUGCAAAUUCACCAUGUUCUUCACUAAGAUUUUUAUGUUGACAAACCAAUUCUUCCUACCAGUCAUGUGUGAUGAGCAUCCUGAGUCCAAGUACCAUUGGUCCUGGAAUUUUCUUCAUCUCUUGUUGUGACCAUCAACAAGAUCUCUUCUUCUUCAUGCUUUGCAAACUUUGCAUCAUUUUCUUG
rnacentral:lncRNA from 1 species